CGGGUUAUAGCUCAAGUGGUAGAGCACAUGCUUAGCAUGCAUGAGGUCCUUGGUUCAAUCUCCAGUACCACUU
rnacentral:tRNA from 1 species